AAGUGCAGAAAGGGCCCAAUCUGGUGGAUGAACCACACGGCCAGCUUCUGGAUGCAGGCACAGUGCCACAUUUUUUGUCACUUCCUGAUGCGCCCCACCAGCACCAAAGAGACAGCCUGGAGACAGGGCAAGAGGAAGGCUGAGAAGGAUGAGUUGGUGAGUGCCAGAUUCUUCCUGGCCCUGAGCCCACCCCCAGGGCGACACUCAACCUUUAGAGUGGGAGAGCAAGAUUGAUGGCUUCAAGUGCUUCACCAAGAAGAUGGACAACAGGGCACUCACCUCAACUUCACAGCCAAUGAGUGGUGACAGGCUUUAAGAAAGAGCAUCAGAAGGCUGCCAGUUCUUCAGCCUCAGCCAGGCCUUGGAGCUGGACCAGGCCAUUCACUUCAGUAUAGAUGCCUUCCACACUGUCAGUGAGGUCUUUGCCAAUCAGUCCAGGCAGGACCUGGACCCAGCCAUGGACCUGUUAGUGCUUUCUCAGGGACACCAGACCAACAUCCUGGACAUCGUCCACAUACACAAGGAAGCUCUUACAAAAGUCACGGAGAGCAGACAACAAGUGGCAGAAGGGAAGAUAGAGGUGCAGAGGCUGAUGAUGUCAGAAUCACAGGAACAGCAUUUCUUUGGCCACUUUGGCUGAAAUUCACCACUUCCAUCCAAUUCCAGUGAGAGACAUGGACUCACAGAUGCAGCAUUUCUUGCAACAAGAGAUACUACUUUUUCAAAAAGUCACCCAGGAA
rnacentral:lncRNA from 1 species